rnacentral:ncRNA from 1 species
AAAAAGACAUUGAACGGAAGAGUAGUUUCGUGUUGGACCAACAGAAAGCCCCGGUGAUGGAAAGGGGCGGUCGACGGGAAACGAACCACAUCUGUGAGUCGGUCGUCUGAAGCAAGUAAGACGAUUCGGGUUAGCCCGUUACAGCUGGAGUUGUUAACAACUCACUGAGGUCGUCUUAGCGAUAGAACGACAAACAGAGGUGGAACCACGAUUUAAUCGUCCUCUUA